UCGUAUACAGCUGGCCUCCAAUAUUCCAAUUCCCCUCCAAAUAAUUUCACUUCCCCACCCAUUUACAUUUCCCAAAAAAAUAAUAUGUGGUAUAUGAUAUUGAAAAUAUCUUCAAUCUAAAUAGUUCCAUAUUUUUCUAGCCCAAAUUGAGAGUGUGAGUUCACCCACCAGCAACGAGACUAUCAUCAAGAUCCAUAGUUUAGUCGUGACAUCAUCAUCCUCUUACAUUACGGUUGUUCAUCCUUAGCUGUAGAAAUUAUGGCUCGUGGAGGCAACAAUGGUGGCAAAAGAAGGAGAGUCACUGGUAGCCGAGAGCUAAGUAGUGCAAGAGAAAUUGAAGUGCCCUUGAAUUCACCUAGCACUAAUGAGUCUCACAAUGAGGUUCCACUAACUAAUGAUGUAGGGGGGUCAGACUUAUCACAACAAACACCGACUCUUUCAGCACACAAACCAUACAUUUUCCCUUAUAAAAACAAGUUUACAGAUCUAAAGGUGGGAAAAGUUAUCAUUUUUUAUUUCAAGAGCAUGUUUAGUGGGCCUUGGCCAAGAUGGACCGAUGUUCCUAAAGGGCACCGUAAGUUGGUGUUUGAGUCAUUCCAGGUUGUUACUUAAUUAUUAAACUUGAUAAAAUCGACAAUGUUAUAUAUGUAUAUAUUGCAAUUUAGCGAACAUAUCAAUGGGAUUCAAGUUUAGACGUUAUUGUUGAAAAAAAUUGGGAGCAUAUCAUCAAGAAGAGAUACUCGGAUAUCAUGUCCACAGUUCAAGAUCAUGCUGUUAAAAUGGCGAGAAAAGUGGGUGUGAAUGUUUGAGAUUUGAUUGAUGUUAAGCCUUUUUAUCCGGAGUGGAUUGAUGAAAAUUUUUUGCAAAAAUGAUUGACGAUGUAUGGAAUACAAGUGAGUGGAAACAUAUCUCAAAAUCAUGAAAAGACAAUAGAGCCACACCAAUAGAGGGGCAGAUGUCUAGAAAUUCAGGUGGAUCACUUAGCUUCGAUCAUCAUCAAUUAUGAAUGGAGAAGGAAAAAGGUGGCCCAGUUCCCGAGAUAGAUGUUUGCAAAGAGACCUACACUAAGACACUCAAGGCAUCAGAGAAGGCUGCAGGUGCACCUACUCAGUAUACUACCAUGUAGUCUGGGAUGGGAUGGUGCUGGAAAAAUACUUAGAACUUGCAACAGAGAGGUUUGGGUCAGAGCGUGAAAGUCAUCCAAAACGUAUCGAUAGAGAGUUAUGGGAGCAGGCUAGUGGAGGGAUGAAGAAAGGGACAUUGUUUGGAAUAUCCAAUGACAAGAGGACAUUGACAACCGUCAUGGGUUGCUGGACUUUCUGGUCCAAACAUGGGUGGGACAUCUAAUGAGGUACAAAGCAUGAAACAACAACUUGAAGAACAUGAAAAAAAAGCUGAAGUGUUUAGGAAAGAAGUUGAAGAGCUUAGGAAAGAAGCUGAAGAGCGUGCAACACAAAUGACUCGAUUACAAGAACAAGAAUGACAACCCCGUUUAGAAGUUAAAGAAAUGAGCGGACAAUUGGCUAAGUUAACUGUUUGUACACCAAAUCGCAUUAGGGUUACAAAAAGGGGUUUUUAGGGGGUUCGAACUGUUUGUUGGCGAUUCCCUUAUGGUAGAGAGUAAGCCUCUUUACGCCAAUUGAAUAAGGUUUGCGAUGUAGCCGAUUAAGAUCGUGUUGUUGUGUUAUUUUUUGAGUUUAUGUGUGAAUGAAAAUAAGCAGAUGAGUCCCCCUCUUGCGAACUCUUUUGAGUCGCUUUUAUAGGAGGAUCGGGAGAGAGAAACUUGUCGAUUGGUUUCUUCCGUGAUUUUUAGGGAUAGAUUUAACUUCCCAAAUUAA